ACAGCAGAAACGCACUAGACAAAAGCACCUAUCUACCAAGUACAAAAUUGCAUCUUUUACAUAUAAUACAAAUUGAAUGUCCUAAUUUCCACAGCCUCAUUACCAAGGAGCAGCUGAUGGAUCCCUACAAUGUUGUUCGAAAUUUCAGUAGAAGCGCGGCAUAACUGUAUAAUCUGGAACUUUAGUGUGUUUUGAGGCUAAACUACACUAGACAGGCUUCUUUCUUGUCAACAAUGCAACAGCCACCUAAGUUAUUAAAAGAGGGCUCAACUUCAGCAGCCAAGAUGUAGCAGGAACUUUCAAACUCAGUCACAAAACUGAAAUCUGAACAGAAGAUCUGUUCUAGACAGGGGGAUAACGAAGCUUUCUAAUGCAGAUCUCUUGAAUUUUGCAUUUGGUUGUGGUCAAGAUGUUGUCUUUGAUUUCAGUUCAGUUCCUAAGUUGAAGAGAUUUGUCAUGGGUGCAAACAAAAGACAGCUGCACUAUGUUUUCACUCGAUCGGUUGUCAAAACAUGUUCCCAGGAUGAGGAGUUUGACUGUCAAGACCAGGUUAUAUGCAUACCAGAAAGAAUCGCCAUCUUCAAAGAUGUUGCGAAGUUAAUAGCAACACAGAAUUUGAUAUCUUGAAGAUGAUUGCUAUUCUUAGAGCCUUUCCCUCCCUGCAAAAGCUAUAUUUAGAGACUUGUUCUUCAGAAGACAUGGGCCGAGGAAAGCUUGAGCAUAGUGAACAUGUCCAUAAACAUCUGAAGCAAGUUGAAAUUGGUGGAUUUUAUGACACCUCAAACCAGAUUGAACUCGCCAUUUACUUGUUGAAACAUGCUAUUUCCCUAGAGCGGAUGGUCAUCAAUCCUGUAGGGAAAUAUUGUUCUGCGUUGAGGCAGUCCUGGGAUGAAGGAGAACGUGAAAAGGCUUAUCGAAAACUGCAUGAACCUGACGAUCCACUGAAUGUAUCUGAAUCUUUAGGGAUUCGGCAAUCAAGUUUAAACUGUUUAAUGUAUUAGGAUGUGCACUUCCUUUUGCCCUUUUGUGUAUGAAGUUCUCUGUUCUUGCUUGCUUUCUAAGCCCUUGUUGAGAAUCAACUCUCUUCAAUGGCAGUCAAAGGUUCUUCAGAAUAUAGUGCAUGAAUCACGUAAUUUGGACCCAGUCAUCCAUUUACCUUUACAAAAAACAAUACUGUGUAAGAAAAGAUUUCAACAACAAAAAUCUUUUAGAUUUUGCACAAA